UUUAUUUUUAGUGGCGAACGGGUGCGUAACACGUAAGAAUCUGCCUUUAGGAAGGGGAUAACAUUUAGAAAUAUUUGCUAAUACCCUAUAUGCUUCACAGUGAAAGAAUUUAUUCGCCUAAAGAGGAGCUUGCGUCUGAUUAGCUAGUUGGUAGGGUAAAGGCCUACCAAGGCGACGAUCAGUAGUUGGUCUGAGAGGACGGCCAGCCACAUUGGAACUGAGACACGGUCCAGACUCUUACGGGAGGCAGCAGUGAGGAAUUUUCUGCAAUGGGCGAAAGCCUGACAGAGCAAUACCGCGUGAGGGAUGACUGCCUACGGGUUGUAAACCUCUUUUCUCAAGGAGGAAGAUCUGACGUUACUUGAGGAAUAAGCAUCGGCUAACCCUGUGCCAGCAGCCGCGGUAAUACAGGGGAUGCAAGUGUUAUCCGGAAUUAUUGGGCGUAAAGCGUCUGCAGGUUGAUCUAUAAGUCUUUUGUCAAAUCUUUGGGCUUAACCCAAAAACAGCAAAAGAAACUAUUUAUCUUGAGUAUGGUAGAGGUAAGGGGAAUUUCCAGUGGAGCGGUGAAAUGCGUAGAUAUUGGAAAGAACACCAACAGCGAAGGCACCUUACUGGGCCAUUACUGACACUCAGAGACGAAAGCUAGGGUAGCAAACGGGAUUAGAUACCCCGGUAGUCCUAGCUGUAAACGAUGGAUACUAGGUGUUGCGUACUUUAUAGUAUGCAGUGUCGUAGCUAACGCG
rnacentral:rRNA from 1 species